GAUUCGCUAGCUCAGUUGGUAGAGCAUCUCCCUUUUAAGGAGAGGGUCCUGGGUUCGAGCCCCAGGCGAAUCA
rnacentral:tRNA from 1 species